GUAAGGAAUAUUGGACAAUGGACGCUAGUCUGAUCCAGCCAUGCCGCGUGAAGGAUUAAGGUCCUCUGGAUUGUAAACUUCUUUUAUAAGGGACGAAAAAAGGCUUUUCUAAGUCGUCUGACGGUACCUUAUGAAUAAGCACCGGCUAACUCCGUGCCAGCAGCCGCGGUAAUACGGAGGGUGCAAGCGUUAUCCGGAUUCACUGGGUUUAAAGGGUGCGUAGGCGGGCAGGUAAGUCAGUGGUGAAAUCCUAGAGCUUAACUCUAGAACUGCCAUUGAUACUAUCUGUCUUGAAUAUUGUGGAGGUAAGCGGAAUAUGUCAUGUAGCGGUGAAAUGCUUAGAUAUGACAUAGAACACCUAUUGCGAAGGCAGCUUACUACGCAUAUAUUGACGCUGAGGCACGAAAGCGUGGGGAUCAAACAGGAUUAGAUACCCCUGUAGUCC
rnacentral:rRNA from 1 species